rnacentral:rRNA from 1 species
GAUGAACGCUGGCGGCGUGCUUAACACAUGCAAGUCGAACGAAGCAUUUAGAACGGAUUAUUUCGGUAUGAAGUUCUUUAUGACUGAGUGGCGGACGGGUGAGUAACGCGUGGGUAACCUGCCUUGUACUGGGGGAUAGCAGAUGGAAACGGCUGGUAAUAACGCAUAAGCGCACAAUGUUGCAUGACAUGGUGUGAAAAACUCAGGUGGUAUAAGAUGGACCCGCGUCUGAUUAGCUAGUUGGUGAGAUAACAGCCCACCAAGGCGACGAUCAGUAGCCGACCUGAGAGGGUGACCGGCCACAUUGGGACUGAGACACGGCCCAGACUCCUACGGGAGGCAGCAGUGGGGAAUAUUGCACAAUGGAGGAAACUCUGAUGCAGCGACGCCGCGUGAGUGAAGAAGUAAUUCGUUAUGUAAAGCUCUAUCAGCAGGGAAGAUAGUGACGGUACCUGACUAAGAAGCUCCGGCUAACUCCGUGCCAGCAGCCGCAGUAA